UACGAAGGGGGCUAGCGUUGUUCGGAAUCACUGGGCGUAAAGGGCGCGUAGGCGGCCGCUCAAGUCGGGGGUGAAAGCCUGUGGCUUAACCACAGAAUUGCCUUCGAUACUGUUUGGCUUGAGACCGGAAGAGGUUAGUGGAACUGCGAGUGUAGAGGUGAAAUUCGUAGAUAUUCGCAAGAACACCAGUGGCGAAGGCGGCUCACUGGCCCGGUACUGACGCUGAGGUGCGAAAGCGUGGGGAGCAAACAGG
rnacentral:rRNA from 1 species